CUACGGGCGGCUGCAGUGGGGAAUAUUGCACAAUGGGCGCAAGCCUGAUGCAGCCAUGCCGCGUGUAUGAAGAAGGCCUUCGGGUUGUAAAGUACUUUCAGCGGGGAGGAAGGGAGUAAAGUUAAUACCUUUGUUCAUUGACGUUACCCGCAGAAGAAGCACCGGCUAACUCCGUGCCAGCAGCCGCGGUAAUACGGAGGGUGCAAGCGGUAAUCGGAAUUACUGGGCGUAAAGCGCACGCAGGCGGUUUGUUAAGUCAGAUGUGAAAUCCCCGGGCUCAACCUGGGAACUGCAUCUGAUACUGGCAAGCUUGAGUCUCGUAGAGGGGGGUAGAAUUCCAGGUGUAGCGGUGACAUGCGUAGAGAUCUGGAGGAAUACCGGUGGCGAAGGCGGCCCCCUGGACGAAGACUGACGCUCAGGUGCGAAAGCGUGGGGAGCAAACAGGAUUAGAUACCCCUGUAGUC
rnacentral:rRNA from 1 species